UUAGAGUUUGAGUGAUGGCAGUUUAGAGGAAAUCAGAAUAUUAGAAGUUUACCCUCAAGGAACAAGUGUAAAGAAUAUCCUACAGAAAAGGUGACAAAUAUAUGCCAUUUCCAUGUUCUCGUCACACACUAGACAGUACUACAGGAGUCAUCUUUCCUGUAGAACCAGUCUCACAGCCCUGCAAGCUUCCUCAUCUGGGAGUCCUUAUCCAUUGACCAGAGUUGGCCUGAGAAAGAAAAUCUGCUUGUUAUCUGUCUUACAAGAGAAAAAACAGUGAUCUGAACUUCUUAUUUCAAGUCAAAAGAGAAUAAAAUCCUGGAACUGAGUCACAAGCUAUCUGCUCAGAUUCUGCAGCGCCAUCACAUAUGCAGUUAUAAGAUGAGAAUUACUACUUUUGAAGCUAAAUUGUCC